AUUGAACGCUGGCGGCAGGCCUAACACAUGCAAGUCGAGCGGAGCGGCGGACGGGUGAGUAAUGCCUAGGAAUAUGCCUGGUAGUGGGGGAUAACGUCCGGCAACGGGCGCUAAUACCGCAUACUAGCAGAUGAGCCUAGGUCGGAUUAGCUAGUUGGGGGGGUAAAGGCCUACAAAGGCGACGAUCCUUAACUGGUCUGAGGGCGUGAUCAGUCAAACUGGAACUGAGACACGGUCCAGACUCCUACGGGAGGAAGCAGUGGGGAAUAUCGGACAAUGGGGGAAAUCCUGAUCCAGCCAUGCCGGGUGUGUGAAGAAGGUCUUCGGAUGGUAAAGUACUUUAAGUUGGGAGGCGUUACCAAAAGAAAAAGCACCGGCUAACUUCGUGCCAGCAGCCGCGGUAAUAC
rnacentral:rRNA from 1 species